UACGGGAGGCAGCAGUGGGGAAUAUUGCACAAUGGGCGCAAGCCUGAUGCAGCCAUGCCGCGUGUAUGAAGAAGGCCUUCGGGUUGUAAAGUACUUUCAGUCGUGAGGAAGGUGUUAAGGUUAAUAACCUUAGCAAUUGACGUUAGCGACAGAAGAAGCACCGGCUAACUCCGUGCCAGCAGCCGCGGUAAUACGGAGGGUGCGAGCGUUAAUCGGAAUUACUGGGCGUAAAGGGCACGCAGGCGGUUAAUUAAGUUGGAUGUGAAAUCCCCGGGCUUAACCUGGGAAUGGCAUUCAAGACUGGUUAGCUAGAGUCUUGUAGAGGGGGUAGAAUUCCAUGUGUAGCGGUGAAAUGCGUAGAGAUGUGGAGGAAUACCGGGUGGCGAAGGCGGCCCCUGGGCAAAGGCUGACGCUCAUGUGCGAAAGCGUGGGGAGCGAAACAGGGAUUAGAUACC
rnacentral:rRNA from 1 species